rnacentral:rRNA from 1 species
AGAACGAACGCUGGCGGCAGGCUUAACACAUGCAAGUCGAGCGGAUGUAGCAAUACAUCAGCGGCAGACGGGAUAGUAACACGUGGGAACGCGCCCUUUGGUUCGGAAUAACUCAGGGAAACUUGAGCUAAUACCGGAUAAGCCCUUACGGGGAAAGAUUUAUCGCCAAAGGAACGGCCCGCGUCCGAUUAGCUAGUUGGUGAGGUAAUGGCUCACCAAGGCAUCGACGGGUAGCUGGU